UUUUAGCUUGCAGUUAUGUCGUAUGCUUUCUGAAAAUUCAACUUUUAGAGGUAUCCAGCAGGCCUUGUAUGAGCUUGCAUAUCAUGUUAUCAAGGGGAAUCUAAAACAUGAUCAAGCUUCAAAUGUUCUCAAUGAUAUUAUAGAAUUUCGGGAUGAUAUGCCCUCCAUUCUAGCUGAUGUGUUUUGCAUAUUAGAUAUUGAAACUAGUUGUUUAGAAGAAAAAAGUAAGAGAGAUCAGUUUAUGCAGUUGGUGUUAGCAUGUUUGUACUUGGUUUCGGAUACUAUACUAAAAGAGCGUCUAGAUCCUGAUACGUUGGAAUCAUUAGGGCUUAUCAAGCAGUCCCAACAGUUCAAUCAGAAAUCAGUGAAAAUCAAGACAAAACUUUUCUAUAAACAACAGAAAUUCAAUUUAUUAAGAGAAGAGAAUGAAGGUUAUGCAAAACUCAUUGCUGAAUUGGGACAAGAUUUGUCUGGAAGUAUCACUAGUGAACUUAUUCUAGAAAAUAUCAAAUCUUUAAUAGGAUGUUUUAACCUAGAUCCUAACAGAGUAUUGGAUAUUAUCUUAGAGGUCUAUGAAUGUAGGCCAGAAUAUGAUGAAUUCUUUGUACCUUUGAUUGAAUCCUACAUGUACAUGUGUGAACCUCAAACUCUUUGUCAUAUCCUUGGGUUUAAAUUCAAGUUCUAUCAGGAGCCAAAUGGAGAGACACCGGUCUCUUUAUAUAGGGUUGCUGCAGUUCUUUUGCAGCAUAACUUAAUAGACCUGGAAGACCUUUAUGUACAUCUCCUUCCAGCGGAUAGUGCAAUUCUUGAAGAACACAAGCGAGAAAUUGGGGAAGCUAAACAAAUUGUACGGAAACUUACAAUGGUGGUAUUGUCUUCUGAAAAGACAGAAGAGAAAGAAAAGGAAAAAGAGAAGGAAGAGGAAAAAACGGAAAAGCCACCCGAUAAUCAGAAACUUGGUUUAUUAGAAGCAAUGCUAAAGAUUGGUGAUUGGCAGCAUGCACAAAGCAUUAUGGAUCAGAUGCCUCCAUUUUAUGCAACAUCACACAAAUCUAUUGCGGUUGCUCUUUGCCAGCUUCUUCAUGUGAUGAUCGAACCCCUUUAUCGAAGAGUUGGAGUUCCCAAAGGUGCCAAAGGGACGCCAAUCUCUCCUUUGCAGAACAAGAGAGCACCCAAACAAGUAGAGAGCUUUGAAGAUUUGAGAAAGGAAGUCUUCAGCAUGCUUUGUUACCUUGGCCCACAUCUCUCCCACGACCCCAUAUUGUUUGCAAAAGUGGUGCGUCUUGGGAAAGCAUUUAUGAAGGAGUACCAGUCUGAUGGAGGCAAACAAGAUGAUAAAGAUAAAAUGGAAGUAUUAUUCAGUUGCUUACUAAAUAUUACCGACCAGGUUUUACUUCCUUCUCUUUCCCUGAUGGAGUGUAACGCAUGUAUGUCUGAAGAACUCUGGGGGAUGUUUAAGACAUUUCCAUACCAGUACCGGUACCGUCUUUAUGGUCAGUGGAAGAAUGAAACUUACAAUAGCCAUCCCUUAUUAGUGAAAGUUAAAGCGCAGACCAUUGACAGAGCCAAAUACAUUAUGAAGCGUUUGACCAAGGAAAAUGUAAAGCCUUCUGGAAGACAAAUUGGGAAACUAAGCCACAGCAACCCAACCAUUUUAUUUGACUAUAUUUUGUCUCAGAUACAGAAGUAUGAUAACUUAAUAACUCCAGUUGUUGAUUCAUUGAAAUACCUCACUUCAUUAAACUAUGAUGUCUUGGCAUAUUGCAUAAUUGAAGCACUGGCUAAUCCGGAGAAGGAGAGAAUGAAACAUGAUGACACUACAAUCUCCAGUUGGCUUCAAAGUUUAGCUAGUUUCUGUGGUGCUGUUUUUCGAAAAUAUCCUAUAGAACUGGCUGGUCUGCUUCAGUACGUAGCAAAUCAACUAAAGGCUGGGAAAAGCUUUGACCUGCUUAUUUUGAAAGAAGUGGUACAAAAAAUGGCUGGAAUAGAAAUCACGGAAGAGAUGACAAUGGAGCAGCUAGAGGCCAUGACUGGAGGAGAGCAGCUGAAAGCAGAGGGUGGAUAUUUUGGCCAGAUCAGGAACACUAAAAAAUCAUCUCAGAGACUAAAAGAUGCACUUUUGGACCACGACCUUGCCCUUCCCCUGUGCCUUCUCAUGGCUCAGCAGAGAAAUGGUGUGAUCUUCCAAGAAGGAGGAGAGAAACAUUUGAAGUUAGUGGGAAAACUCUAUGAUCAGUGCCAUGAUACUUUGGUGCAGUUUGGUGGGUUUCUAGCCUCCAACUUAAGCACAGAGGAUUAUAUUAAACGAGUGCCUUCCAUUGAUGUUCUCUGUAAUGAGUUUCACACCCCUCACGAUGCUGCAUUUUUCCUUUCAAGACCUAUGUAUGCACACCAUAUUUCGUCAAAAUACGACGAACUGAAAAAAGCCGAGAAGGGGAACAAGCAGCAGCAAAAAGUUCACAAAUACAUUACAUCCUGUGAGCUUGUGAUGGCUCCUGUUCAUGAUGCAGUGAUCUCCUUGCACCUCCCAAAGGUCUGGGAUGAUAUCAGUCCACAGUUCUAUGCUACAUUCUGGUCACUGACCAUGUAUGACCUGGCUGUGCCACAUAGCAGCUAUGAACGAGAAGUCAAUAAACUCAAAGUCCAGAUGAAGGCUAUUGAUGACAAUCAGGAAAUGCCUCCAAACAAAAAGAAAAAAGAGAAAGAGCGCUGCACGGCCCUUCAGGAUAAGCUCCUUGAAGAGGAAAAGAAACAGUCGGAACAUGUGCAAAGGGUGCUGCAAAGGCUGAAAUUGGAAAAGGAUAAUUGGCUUCUUGCAAAGUCCACCAAAAAUGAGACCAUAACAAAAUUUCUGCAGUUAUGUAUAUUUCCUCGCUGUAUUUUUUCUGCCAUUGAUGCUGUUUACUGUGCCCGGUUUGUGGAAUUGGUGCAUCAACAGAAAACACCAAAUUUUUCCACACUUCUUUGCUAUGACAGAGUGUUCUCUGAUAUAAUCUAUACAGUUGCAAGCUGUACUGAAAAUGAAGCUAGUCGAUACGGCAGGUUCCUGUGCUGUAUGCUAGAUACUGUAACACGAUGGCAUAGCGAUAGAGCCAUUUAUGAAAAGGAAUGUGGCAACUAUCCAGGUUUCCUUACUAUCUUACGGGCAACUGGUUUUGAUGGCGGGAACAAAGCGGACCAGUUAGAUUAUGAGAAUUUUCGGCAUGUAGUACACAAAUGGCAUUAUAAAUUAACGAAGGCGUCUGUACACUGCCUCGAAACGGGUGAAUACACACACAUCAGAAAUAUCCUGAUUGUGCUGACUAAAAUCCUGCCGUGGUAUCCCAAAGUUGUAAAUUUAGGCCAGGCCUUGGAACGAAGAGUCCAUAAAAUCUGCCAAGAGGAGAAAGAAAAGAGACCCGAUUUAUAUGCAUUAGCUAUGGGCUACUCUGGACAGUUGAAAAGUAGAAAACAUUGCAUGGUCCCUGAAAAUGAUUUCCACCACAAGGAUCCACCCACCAGGAAUGCAGUACCUACUACAGUGCAGAACGGGCCGGGUGGAGCAGGGCUGCCUCCAUCGCUCACAAUCAAUGCAGCUAAACUAGAAGAAAGCACUACUGAGGAGACAGAUAAAUUAAAGGAGAAAUCUCAGGGUGCUGUUAAAGUGAUUAAUAAAGCUGCCAAUGCAACACCAAAGGUGACCACAAGCAACGGGAACAGUGCAUCUAACAGCAAAGUUAUAAAAGAAAAAGAAGACAAAGAGAAAUGCGGGAAGGAAAAAGAGAAGGAGAAAAAAGAGAAGACUCCAGCUGCCACUCCUGAGGCCAAAAUACUUGGAAAGGAUGGGAAAGAGAAACCAAAGGAAGAGCGGGCAAACAAAGAAGACAAGCUAAGAGAUACUAAGGAGAAGACGCCUAAAUCUGAUAAAGAGAAAGAAAAAACCAAGAGAGAAGAGAAAUCCUCGAAGGAUGAAAAAUCCAAGAUUACUGUGACCAACACUGAGUCAAAAUCAGCUGUAGAAAAGGAGAGAGAGAAAGAGCCAUCCAGAGAAAGAGAUGUAACCAAGGAUGUGAAGUCCAAGGAAAACAUUAGAGGAGGAGAGAAGACGCCCGUUGCUGGGUCCUUGAAGUCACCCGUUCCCCGAUCGGAAACAUCAGAUUCUGAAAGGGAACAAAAACGUCGCAAAGUUGAUACCCAUUCUUCUCCAUCACAUUCCUCAACAGUAAAGGACAACCUCAACGAACUCAAGGACUCUUCAGCAAAGCACUACAUUAACCACUCUACUCCAACACUGUCCAAGAGUAAGGAGAGAGAAGUGGAGAAGAAAGAUCUGGACAAGUCAAGAGAAAGAUCCAGAGAAAGAGAGAAGAAGGAUGAAAAGGAAAGGAAAGAUCGAAAAAGGGAUCAUUCAAAUAGUGACCGCGAAGUGCCCCAGGAUUCAACUAAACGUCGGAAAGAGGAAAAUGGAACAACUGGUUCCUCAAAACAUAGUAAGAGUGAAAGUCCUUCUGAUUCUCCUCGCUCUAGUGAAAAGGAGAAGGAAAAAAAUAAAUCCAAAACAUCAAGCAAAGAAAAAGGAGAUUCAAUCAAAGUGGAAAAGAUGGAGAAAAGCUCAUCUGGGAGCAAAAAGGAGUCCAGACAUGAUAAAGAGAAAACAGAGAAAAAAGAAAAACGAGACAGUACCGGGGGGAAAGAAGAAAAAAAACAAUAUCCUUUCACUGUGUCACUCUUGGCAAUGUGCAGUUAUUUUUCUAGGAACGUUUCUUUCCAAAAGUAUUUCCCUUAAUCUUUGAUCUACUCAUAAAUCUUCAGACAAGCACAGAUAAUGAACACUGUUCUGACCAAGGCAAGGUUCAAGUUGGGAAGAAAUUGAGCUGUGACCAGAAAUGUAUUUUCCAGAAUAUAGAUUGCACAGAAAAUCGUAAUGAAGAGAACCCAUCUGCAUCUCCUUAAAUUAUUCAGUUCUCUGCUUUAUUUUCCUCCCAUGGCUGAAGAUUUGAUUGUUGAGUUGUACAUUACUGUAUUUUUAACUCGUCGCUUAGUUUCUUACGCAUUUAUUUUCAGUACCUGGCUGAAAGUGUUACAUGUUCCAUAUUUUUAGCACAAUGUGCUGCAAACAGUUGCCAUCGUGCAAAUGAGGUUUUCAUGUGUACAGAGUUCCAUGUUAGGUUAUCAAAAUACUGCCUGAGUUUAGUCAUCUUUUUCAAUUGGAAAUGCAUUAUUUUAGGUGUUUGAAAACCAACAAAUAAACAGUUAUUUGAACCUUUGGAAUUUACCUCAUUUAAAAUCCAAUUUUUAUUUAUUUGUUUUUAAUAUCAAUAACUAAAACCAAGUGGGAACACUGUUUUGAUGCAGUGCUUAGGAAUUAUUUGUAUAUUAUGUGAACAAUAUUGACCUGUUUAAAAAAAA